ensembl:lncRNA
AUGACGCUAGACGUAGAUCGAAUGCUGAUUGGUUGAAACACUGAGUUGACCCGGGAAAGAGAAAAGCUUCACGGAAGUGGACAAAAAUGCAGGCGCUCGAAAGUUUCGAGGAACAGUUAGCUGAACAAAUUGCGUUACACCACAACCUUUAUGACCCUGGACACAAGUAUUACAAGAACCCGCACGUUAGCAUCAAGUCGUGGCAAGAAAUAGCAGCCGCCCUCCAGACAGAGCCGGACAAAUGCCGCGAGAAGUGGAAGCAACUUCGGGACAGGUAUGUUCGGGCCAAGAAAAAGUUCAACAGCAAAAGCAGCCAGCCAGCGAGAACAGCGAGAACCCCUCCGCUGCUGAAGUCCCUGUCGUGGCUGGACGGGUACGUGAAACACAGGAAUGCCGUGACGAGGUACACAAUAGAGAGUCCCGAAGACUUCUCAUCCUCCCCCGCAGGGCCGGCCCAGGUGCUGGAAGACAUGGCUAACCCUUAUCCCGAUAAAUCCCAGAGUUCAGCUGCAGCAUCCCCUGGACCGUCACCACACAACAGCAGCCAGGGAGGCGAAAUACAAUUGAUGGAGUCGACUCUGCCGAGCCCCUCCAGGUCCGAGGGCAGCCCGACGCGGCGCUGCAUCACCCCGACCCCACAAAGCCGGCCUAAUAAAAGGAAGGAACACGAUGAGGACCACGCCACCACCUCCAUAAAAGACCUGCUAACGGACUGCUCCAAAAUGGCAGCAUUACGUGACAUGUGUGCUGUGCAAGGGGAUGAGCUGGACGAAUCGCACUACUUUGGAAUCGUGGUCGCAAAGGGGCUGCGGACAUUGCCGGACAAAAUGCGGGCAGAUGCCAUGGCACAGGUGAUGGCGCUGUUGAGCAACUUCCGUCAACAAGCUUUCGAGCUGCAAACAACAAAUGACAACAAGAAAACCUGAUGACACGUCUUUGUUGUUCUUUUUUUUCAUCCAUUCUUACGCGUUGUUCUUAAUAUCAUAAAAUCUUUGCUUCCAUCUUCUGCUUUUGUCUGUGAGGCUCGUAGAGAGAAGCUGAGAGUUUCUCUGACAGCAUGCUGUGAAGUGUGCGCUCGCUACACUGUUGCUGACAGUUUCAGGACAUUUUUAUAGUUGUCAAGUGUUUAGUUUAUACGUGUGCACAUACAUCCGCCAAGUCCCACAAUAGCCUUAUUACAAAAAUACAGGAAUUAGUAUAGCACAAAUGUAUAUAUUAUAUGUUUAUAUUAAAUAUGUAGUGUAUAUUUAUAAAAUCUUUGAACUUUUAUUUAUAAUUAUGUGCUUUGUUUGUCUGGUACACUAGAAGACUGACUUUGAUUUAGGAACUAACUGUGACGAUGAUGAGAAGCAAGACAAGAGUUACCAGGAUGUCGCAGCUCUUUGUAGUUUGCAUAGACAACGGGAAAGAGCACUGUUACUACACUGUACACACCAUAACACUGGCAAGUGUAUCUUGAUCAUGGUCACUGGUGUUUUGCCACAGCGCCAGUCCGAUAAUAGCUGACUGCUCUGGCCCAACAAGUCGUCUUUAAUGUCGAGACUUUGUUGAAUGUACGUUUAAAGCCUAAUGAAAAUCAGGGUAGUAUUGCUCGUAUAAAGAAAUUAGCUUCCCACUUUUCCUUUCAAGAAACUACAGAAAACAAUUUGUUUACUGCAAAAUUUUUAAAUUUGAAACAGCCCGAUUUCUUAGUAAUUAGAGCAGUAAUUUAACAUGUGCACAUCUCUGUGAAAUUGCUAAUGAUUUAUGUCUCAUAAUGUGAGAGCUAGCAGACAGCUGUUAGAAAAAGGAGAACAAUGCACAGCUUAUUUCUUUCUUUUUUUUUAAAUCUGAAAAAGCAACAGGAACAGUUCAAUUCCAUUCAUAAACCUAUUGUUAAUAGUGUGAUUACAUAUCCUAAAUUAAUAGCAAAAUACUGUUCUGCCUUUUAUAAUGAACUGUUCAAAUCCAGCCAGUCAUCUACAUAUAAUGUAAUGAAUAUUAAGAUUUGUAGGAAUCACUCAGCUGAAUGGAAGAGUAGAUGUGAUGCUUUUCUCACUCUGGGAGAAACAAGAAUAGCCAUUUUGAAACUGAAGUCCCUAAAACUUCUUGUUUUAAAGUCUCGAAUUAUUACAGUUAUUAGAUAUCGGUGUCGUUUCUGGAUUCUGUUGUUUGAGACUACAAAGUCAAGUUUGCAGUUAAAACCCAUGAGGCCUGCUGUUAAAAUAGCUUUAUUAAGCUGGUUUUGGUCUUGCAGUAGUCUGGAUAGUAGCGUCACGGCCAUACCAGCCUGUUCUCAUCUGAUCUCUGAAGCUAAGCAGGGGCGGUCCUGCAUAGUCGCGUCACCUUCACCUUGCUCCGUGUUAGAAACUCCAUGAUAUCGUGUUCCCUGCUCAGGGUAGCACACUGAUGCGCAUUUAUUCAGUGCUCUUCGGGACCGCAGUCGGC